CCUACGGGAGGCAGCAGUGGGGAAUAUUGGACAAUGGGGGGAACCCUGAUCCAGCCAUGCCGCGUGUGUGAAGAAGGCCCUCGGGUUGUAAAGCACUUUCAGUGAGGAAGAACGCCUGGUGGUUAAUACCCAUCAGGAAAGACAUCACUCACAGAAGAAGCACCGGCUAACUCCGUGCCAGCAGCCGCGGUAAUACGGAGGGUGUGAGCGUUAAUCUGAAUUACUGGGCGUAAAGCGCGCGUAGGUGGCUUGAUAAGCCGGUUGUGAAAGCCCCGGGCUCAACCUGGGAACGGCAUCCGGAACUGUCAAGCUAGAGUGCAGGAGAGGAAGGUAGAAUUCCCGGUGUAGCGGUGAAAUGCGUAGAGAUCGGGAGGAAUACCAGUGGCGAAGGCGGCCUUCUGGACUGACACUGACACUGAGGUGCGAAAGCGUGGGUAGCAAACAGGAUUAGAUACCCUGGUAGGC
rnacentral:rRNA from 1 species